rnacentral:rRNA from 1 species
UACGAAGGGGGCUAGCGUUGCUCGGAAUCACUGGGCGUAAAGCGCACGUAGGCGGAUUGUUAAGUCAGGGGUGAAAUCCUGGAGCUCAACUCCAGAACUGCCUUUGAUACUGGCGAUCUUGAGUUCGGGAGAGGUGAGUGGAACUGCGAGUGUAGAGGUGAAAUUCGUAGAUAUUCGCAAGAACACCAGUGGCGAAGGCGGCUCACUGGCCCGAUACUGACGCUGAGGUGCGAAAGCGUGGGGAGCAACAGG